AUGCAGUCGAGCGGACAGAUGGGAGCUUGCUCCCUGAUGUUAGCGGCGGACGGGUGAGUAACACGUGGGUAACCUGCCUGUAAGACUGGGAUAACUCCGGGAAACCGGGGCUAAUACCGGAUGCUUGUUUGAACCGCAUGGUUCAAACAUAAAAGGUGGCUUCGGCUACCACUUACAGAUGGACCCGCGGCGCAUUAGCUAGUUGGUGAGGUAACGGCUCACCAAGGCAACGAUGCGUAGCCGACCUGAGAGGGUGAUCGGCCACACUGGGACUGAGACACGGCCCAGACUCCUACGGGAGGCAGCAGUAGGGAAUCUUCCGCAAUGGACGAAAGUCUGACGGAGCAACGCCGCGUGAGUGAUGAAGGUUUUCGGAUCGUAAAGCUCUGUUGUUAGGGAAGAACAAGUACCGUUCGAAUAGGGCGGUACCUUGACGGUACCUAACCAGAAAGCCACGGCUAACUACGUGCCAGCAGCCGCGGUAAUACGUAGGUGGCAAGCGUUGUCCGGAAUUAUUGGGCGUAAAGGGCUCGCAGGCGGUUUCUUAAGUCUGAUGUGAAAGCCCCCGGCUCAACCGGGGAGGGUCAUUGGAAACUGGGGAACUUGAGUGCAGAAGAGGAGAGUGGAAUUCCACGUGUAGCGGUGAAAUGCGUAGAGAUGUGGAGGAACACCAGUGGCGAAGGCGACUCUCUGGUCUGUAACUGACGCUGAGGAGCGAAAGCGUGGGGAGCGAACAGGAUUAGAUACCCUGGUAGUCCACGCCGUAAACGAUGAGUGCUAAGUGUUAGGGGUUUC
rnacentral:rRNA from 1 species